AUAUAGGCUUUAGCAUCAAAGGAAGGAUUCAUAUAUUUUGACUGUUUGUUGACAGCUUACUAUUAUAGAGUCAAAAUGAAAAUCUGGCUGUUUUGACCUACAUUAGAAAGGAAUAAUAACCAAAUAAAUAAGAUAAAUAUAGUAUAUUCAGUAGUGAUAAGUGCCAGAAGAAAAGUAAGGUGGGGACGAGGAAUAGGAAAUGCUGGCAGUCAGGGAUGUGAUUUUGAAUAGGGGUUGCCUCAUAAGAAAGUGAUAUUUGAGCAAAAGCUUCAUAGGUGAGGGUGUGAGUGUAAAGGAUACCUGGGGAAAGAACAAUUUAGGUAGGUGGAACAAUAAAGACCUUUGGCUGCACCAUAUUUAGCUCACCCCUUCUCAAAUAUAAAGAAUUUGUAGUUAGUACUCUGAACUGUCUGUUCAUAUGCAGAAUUUCUUUUGGGUUGCCAUCUUUUUCUUACUGAAUUGUAAGAGGCUUUUUGCAUGUUAAAGAAAUUAGCCCUUGCCUAGCAUAUAUAUUAGCUUCUCAGGUAGGGCUAGUGGUCAAGAAUCCACCUGCCAAUGCAGCAGACACAAAAGUCUCCGAGUGUUUGAUCCCUGGGUCAAGAAGAUCCCCUAGAGUAGGAAAUGGCACCCCCCUCCAGUAUUCUUGCCUGGAAAAUUCCAUUGGCAAGGAAACCUGGUCGGCUACAGUGCAUGGGGCCUCGAAGAGUGGAACGUGACUGAGCACANNNAACAUAUAUAUUACAAAUAUUUUCUUCAUUUAUGUUAUUAGUAUAUAGCCAUAUAUAUACAUAUAUGAGUGUGUCAUAUUUAGACACAAUUGCUGCACAGAAGUAUUCCAUUUUAGUUAAUAAAUUUAUCAACCCUUUAUUGCUUAUAGGUUUUGUGUCUUAUUUAGAAAGACUGUCUCCACCCCCAAAAUUUUUUAAAUUAUUAUUUCAUAAUCUAAAAACCUUUAUUUAAAAUCCGGGAACAGAAUAUUCCAACUUCCAUACAACAAAAUGACCCUGCAGAAUACUGGAAAACAGUGUCUAAGUAGUCUGAACUUUUCAGUUAAGAAUCUGUAACCUAGUUUGGGAAAACAGAAUGAAAGCAAGUUGAAACAAAAUACUUCCUCCUUACAAAACAAAUAAUAAAAUUAGAUCCAUUCUUCAGUUUAAACUCUUAACAUGUUUUCCUAGAAAACUUUGGUGAUUUCUUAAAAAGACCAACUCUGAGGUUGACUACCCAUGAGGACAAAGAAUGCAUUUAAAAUAACACCCAAGUGGGACAUGGCACAAGGCUCAGGCCAUGGCAGGUAAAUGGGAUAUCCCUUAGAAUGAGGUGGCUCGCAUGUUUCAAAACCAAAUUUAUGUCUCUAAGGAAGCACAAUAUACAUAAUGCAUUUCCUUAUAUAAGGAUCAGAAUUUAGUUACAACUUAAAAAAAUUUUAAUAUAAUAAACCUUCAAAUCAUUUGUCUUGUAUAAUGUACACAGAGUAGAUAGGACAUUAUGGUGCUUUCUGAAGAUCACUGGGUACCACUGUCAAAGAGAGCUGUUAUGCCCUCAAGGCAUAGUAAAUGAAAACUGAAAACGUAAGUUACAUUAAAUAAAAUGGGAAAAAAAUCUGGCUUAUACUACCUUUAAAAGCAAACUACUGUCAUUACACACACACAUUAUGGGACAAAGAGCAUGCAACACAACAAACCAGUCAAAUUUUUAGUAUGUAAAAGGUGAGUGCAAUCAUGGUAUAAACAUCAAUAAUAAAUAACCUUGGAAGAAGUUAAUUCUCCAAAUAAAUAGUUAUUUUUAACAUUACAGUUUUUACCAUGUCAUCCUAACAGUAAUAUUCACAGCAAUGUUUUUUAUCACUUGAUAGCUGCCUAUACACCAAGUGACGGGCCUAUCCCCAUGAGUUGAAAGUCAAGUGAAGAUUCAAAAAUCAACAGUUUCACUAUGAUAGGCUCAAAGUAUUUGUAUAAAUUACACUUUUCAAUUUACUGGCAUUUUACGUAAUUGUUUUGUUACCUAUUUUUAAUGCACUGCUAAUCUGAUGCUUAUUGCAGUAACAAUCAUAAUCCUACUAAUGUUAAUUAGGUUAAGCUUUAAUUUCUAAAAUCAGAGAAUUCAAUUUACAUGAACAUACAUAGUUUAAAAAUCACCCACCACAAACAUACAGCUUUUUCAUGAGUAUUUAAAAAUAAAUUAUUAAUAUAGUUGACAUAUACAUUUUGUAUUUGUUAUAUAUAUAUGUAUAUAGUUGUGGACAUAACUGUUGUUUCCAAAGUAAUGUCAGCACUUAUAAACUUUGCAGGAGACCUGAUGAUAUUGCUAAAUUUUAAAAACUAACACAGAAAUUUAUUCUUGAAGAAAACUAUAAAGCAGGAGGUUCAUGACAGAUAGUUCUUUAUGGAAACAAAGGCCAUUUUAGGGAGGCAGAGAGAUGAUUUCAGAUUCUGGAUCCUACAUGCAUUGUUUAUUUCAGAAAUCACUUUAGAAAGCCAUAUACAACAAAUACAUCAGAUACUCAGCUGAAAGGUAAGAAAGUGUAUUUUAGUCAUAAAAUGGCACAGAAGCAGCAAGAGAUGGAAAAGUCAGGCCAGCAAGGAGAAAGUCUUGCCUAUAGCUGACAGACAGGCUGCUAACAAACCACCCCUCCCCCCACCACCCCGGGGGAGCAGGUCUUAGGAAAGAGCUGAGUAACAUCUGUGGUCUCCUGGAUGGCUCGCAAUGCACUAAAUGUGUAGUCCACGGGUUUCCAACCUUUCUGACCUUGAACUGCCGACAGGUGCUGAGCAUAAGGGCUUUACUGUCCUCCCCAACCUCAGCAGUAGAAGCAGCUAUUAAGA
ensembl:lncRNA